CUGUCUCGAUUCUAAAAGAGAGAGAGAGAGGGAGGGGAAAACAACGCAUUAAAAAUAAAGCAGUCCCCUUCGCGUCUUCCGUCUCCACUACAUCAUAGACACGGACCAACUCCGGCUUUCAGACAGACUGCAUUCAAGGUGCCACACGCCGAAAACGAGCCUCGGCUCCUAAAGCAGGGUUAGCGGAGGUCGCACUAACGUUUUGUCAUCCACUGACUGAGCAAACGAAAUGCUGCGUUAAAGCUACAGCGCAGGACCCGAGCGGUCUGAAAGCGCCGCGACGUUUUUAGAUAGCCGUGUCAAUCAGAAGACGAGCUGUAUCAAGGCAGAACGACUGGAGGAAACGCGAGCCGUUGCUGCUACAGCUGGUCAAGCGUUUUAAUCACCCUGGCCGUUUAAACGCGAUCAAAGACGUGAAAUCAGGGUAUUCUCAAAGUUAAUGUCUUAGCUACCACUCCGUCGGCUUAGAAUGGGACAUAUUUACAUGUAAAAAGGAUGGCCUCAACCAGUGGCACGGCGGUUCAGCAGGGAGCCGUUUUCACUACACGCCUGUGGGAUUCGGGGAGACUUGUUCCAGCACUUUGGUCUCCUGCCUCGGUGCCAUACUGGGAUGGCUCCCGUCUAGUGAGCUGAGGGAAACCAGAUUCCCUCACGCUGGGAACGGAGCACCGUGCAAACGUGGAAUGACCUGAGAGGUGGAACCCCGAGGAAGGGUGCAGCCGCCAUGUGAGCCAACAACAAAGUGGGGAAAACUGCCUCUGCUCUGGGCUCUCGGAUCCAGACCGACUUACCGCGCAGCUGAAAGAAAGGGGAAUUAAUUCAAGGUCACUUUGGGAGUGAGAUUUGGAAGGAUGUUCACAAUAUGUAACUUCAUUGCAUAUUUCUUUUGAGUUUGCAAGGGAAAAGUCGACUUAACCAGCCCCCGGGUGUCAUUUUCUGUAAUUCCCUUCUAGCGUAAGGCAAGUUCAAAGCCCUGAUCAAACGUCAUCUUUCUGGAAUAAUAUUCAAUGAAACUGAUUUAAUCAUGACCACGGGGGUCACUGUUAAUCCCCAAGCCUGAUUACAGUCGCCAUGUUUUCCAUUUCCUGCUUCCCAGUAUUACGUUGCUGGAGAAGAAGCGACUCGCUUGUAUUCAGUGCCGUCCCCCUGCUGCAUAAUAAAAUACAUCUGCUUCAUUUCAA